rnacentral:pre_miRNA from 1 species
GGCCCAAAUUUGAAGUAGAGUAGAUUAGAAAGGUCAUCUGACCUAAACUACUCUACUUAGAGUUUGUGCCC